rnacentral:pre_miRNA from 1 species
CAUCUACUCCCUCCGUCCGAAAAUACUUGUCAUCAAAAUUGAUGAAAAGAGAUGUAUCUAUAAUUAAAAUAUGUCUAGAUACACCCCCUUUUAUCCAUUUUGAUGACAAAUAUUUUCGGACGGAGGGAGUAUCUC